rnacentral:rRNA from 1 species
AAUUGGAGGGCAAGUCUGGUGCCAGCAGCCGCGGUAAUUCCAGCUCCAAUAGCGUAUAUUAAAGUUGUUGCAGUUAAAAAGCUCGUAGUUGAAUUUCGGGAUCAAUAUUUCGGUCAUGCCGUUGGUAUGCACUGUUAUCAUUGAUUUCUCACCUUCUAAAGAACCGUAAUGCCAUUAAUUUGGUGUUACGGGGAAUUAGGACUGUUACCUUGAAAAAAUUAGAGUGUUUAAAGCAGGCUCACGCUUGAAUACAUUAGCAUGGAAUAAUGAAAUAGGACAUUCGAUUCUAUUUUGUUGGUUUCUAGGAUCGAUGUAAUGAUUAAUAGGGAUAGUUGGGGGCAUUAGUAUUCAAUUGUCAGAGGUGAAAUUCUUGGAUUUAUUGAAGACUAACUACUGCGAAAGCAUUUGCCAAGGAUGUUUUCAUUAAUCAAGAACGAAAGUUAGGGGAUCGAAGACGAUCAGAUACCGUCGUAGUCUUAACCAUAAACUAUGCCGACUAGGGAUCGGAUGAUGUUAAUUUUUUAAUGACUCAUUCGGCGCCUUACGGGAAACCAAAGUGU